GGCUUGUUGUUGGGUCGGGCCAUUCUCUAGGGUGGGCUGUCUGCCCUGGCUGAGCUGGAUUAAAUCGGUGCUCUAGUGGGUGGGGCAGACCUGGGCUAGCAGGCCCAGGGAGAACUCCAAUGGCGUCUGUGUCAGCACGCCCACACCAGGCCUCAACAAUGGCCGCCGCCAAUGUCCCAGUCCCUGGAGAGGUCUCAACCCUCACGGAGAUGCACUCAGGGCCUAUUAGAGAGGAGGGAAGAAACUGGGUGUGAGGAGGCCCCAGGUAACCUCUGAAUGGCACUGGACACAUACGGACUUUGAAAAUGACUCAGCCCUCACCUCCUGGUGUGGUGCGAUGCAAUGAAAAACGCACAGAAAACUCGACUAGGAGGGCCAGGCUUUGCCACAUCAUAGCCAGUGCUCUUGGCAAAUGCCUGAAUGUCUCUAAAUCUCAGUUUCCUCAUCUGUAAAAAGGAGAUAAUAAUAGCACCGCCCUCCUAGGAUUGUAUGAGGCCCAAAUAGAAUAAUGGAUGUGAGCAUAUAUUCAUUGAUUUACUCCUUCAUUCAAAUUUUUUAUUCACUCUUGAAUAUUUAUUGAAUGCCGACCAAGUGCCAAAUGUAUGAGUGGACCUUGGGACAGAGCCGUGAGAGCUCAGCCAAGGUCUCUGCUCUCAUGGAUCUUACGUCCUGAUGUGGGAGGCAGACCGUGAAUGCAGUUUUAAAAAAUCAUGAAUUACCAGGCAUGGUAAGCGGAUACAAUUAAGGAGUGUGCGGUGACAGCACCUGGCACAGGUGCUUGGAGAGCCUCUCUGCGGAGGCAACACCUGAGCUGACGAAGAUGUGGGGGUGUGCAUUCCAGCUGGGAGAAACAGCAAGCGCAAAGGGCUGAGGGCAGGAACUCGUGAGGGGUGUUCUUGAAGCAGAAGGGAGGUCAGUAGGGCCAGAGCACGGUGGGCAACAAGGGUGGUGCACGCUGAGGCCAGACACCCCUCAGACGGACACUCCUUCUUACAAACACGUGCUGGACCUUGUGGCUUCAGAGAUUUUUAUUGUUGCUCUCACCAUCUUUCUUCCUGACAAAUUUCCUGCAGUCCUGGGGCAGUGGGAAUUGGGAUUUCUGCACUCAUUUUACUUAUCAGUUUCCAAGGGGGCGUCUCCACCUGGCAGUGCAGGGACGCACCUGCUUAUUGCAUUCUUCAUGAAGGAAAUGGAAACCUAAGUUGUUUUUUAAAUUUGCUAAAAGUACCUGUUGUAAUUACCAUGCCACCCGUAACAGGAGUUUAUGUAAUUAUUAGUUUGAAUGGCUCUGCUCAUUAUGGUACGGAUUUUUAAUUUGCAAAUGCGUACCAGAUUCUUGAUUGAAUUCCCUUUUGACCGUGAAGUUGAGGACAUAUGUUCAUACAUUUUCAUGGCUGAGGCUCUUUGGCAAGACUGGCUGCUGCUCAGAAGGGGCAGGUAUAGAUGGGUAAUGGGUGGGGGCUGGUGGGCUUGGUGAUGCUCAUGUUUCCAAGGAAGGAUGGGUCAAUGGGGAGAGAGCAGAGGCAUCACUCUCCUUGAUGUGCUGUUAGGAAAUGGCCUCUGGUUGCUGUAUAGGGGAGGGAGGAGUCAUCUCACAUGAUAAACUGAGCCUACAAAGCUGGGCUGGCUGGGUUCUAGCUCUGAGGAUGGCUUUGGUGCCGCUGAUGUGUCCCACGGCUGGUCCUGCACUGGACACUGACUUCAAGGAAAGAAGGAGCCCAAGGCUUUUGUGGGAGACAUGUGUCCCCAAGCUCCUGGCUACCUUCUCCAUCAGGGCUCUGGUCCAGGAGCAUGAACACUUAUUACUCAGUUCUCACAGGGACUGAGUUGAAUAAUACCACACCCCCAAAUUUAUAUCCAUCCAGAACCGCAGGGUGUGACUUUAUUUGUAAAUAGGGUCUUUGCGGAUGUAAUUAGUUAGGCUGAGAUGAGGUCAUGCUGAAUUAAGGUGGGCCCUAAUCCAAUGACUGGUGUCUUUAUAAAAGAGGAAAAUAUGGACACACAGAGACACACAGGGAAGAAGGCGAUGUGACAGCAGAGGCAGAGACGGGAGUGAUGUGUCUACAAGCCAAGGAACACCAAGGACUGCCGGCAGCCACCAGAAGCUGGGAGAGAGGCAGGGGGCAGAUUGUCUCUCGGAGCCUCCAGAAGGAACCAACCCUGCUGACACCUUGAUUGUGGACUUCUAGGCUCCAGAAUGGUGAAGGAAUAAAUUUCUGUUGUUUUAAGCUGCCCACUUUGUGAUAGUCUGUUAUGGAAGUCCUAGGAGACUAAUACACACGAGGAGGUCAGAUCAUCAGGGAGGGACAGUGCUGUUUUAUGCACUCACACCCAACACCUAGUGGAUACAUUACACUUAACAGGUUUCAAUGGUUACUUAUUAUUUAUUUGUUUGACAUUUUCUCUUAGUCUCAAUCUCUUUCUGUCUGUGUGUUUGUGUUUAGGUGUAUCAUA